CUCUCCUAGUCUUUUCCUUUUUCCUCUCCUAGUCCUACUUGGCCGCCAUCUUCAAUCGUCUUCCACAGUGAUGGCGGUGCACUGCCCGUGGCUGCAGCUCAAUAUCCGGAGGCGCUCGAUUCUCCUUGCCCUUGUGCACAUUCGCUUCAAGCUCUUCGCCUUAUCUCCAGCAGCAGCAGCAGUUCCAGGGUUCUCUCAAUUAGCAGGGUCUUAUGAACGCCCCCCUCCAAUGCUAUGUUGUCAGGUCACUACCAAGCUUGUCUACUAAACCAGCAUCAAGUUCAUCUUGCGAGCUUUGGCGUUUGGGGUUCUGUUACUGUUACUGUUAGGUUCAGGUGAAGCCUUCUUUUUUUCCUCUACCCUUCAUGAUGGAUCAUGGAUGCACAAUGGCAUUCAUUUUAUUUUCCAAUUAAUCAGUAUAGCUCUAUGUGCAAUAAGAUAAGGUAGCUUCGAGGGAAAGUGGGCACAAAAUAAGGCUCAACUCCAUUAUUGGUUAUCCAAGCUAAGUGUCAGGGGUUUCCUUAAAAUCUUGAUCAUCUGUCAAUAAAAAACUAUGACCAUAAAGCAACUUGGUAAUAUGUAUGCUUCCUCGUAAAGCAACUUGGCUUCCACUGUAAAGAGAACAAAAUUCGUACACCGUUUUGUAAUUAGCAUGGUUGCUUACGGAUGUUUUCACU